GUUUAGUGAUGAUAUCCAUGCGUGUCAACUGAACUCGGUGUUCACUGCGGCUUUUCAGUCUCCUUUCGGCGUUUUGCUGACUGGAGCUCCUGGGGUCACGGGUUCUCGAGUGCAAGAUCAGACUUUAUUAGGCUGAAAAU